rnacentral:rRNA from 1 species
UACAGAGGGUGCAAGCGUUAAUCGGAAUUACUGGGCGUAAAGCGUGCGUAGACGGUCAUGUAAGUCGGGUGUGAAAGCCCCGGGCUCAACCUGGGAAUUGCAUUCGAGACUGCAUGGCUAGGGUGCGGAAGAGGGAAGUGGAAUUUCCGGUGUAGCGGUGAAAUGCGUAGAUAUCGGAAGGAACACCAGUGGCGAAAGCGACUUCCUGGUCCAGCACCGACGUUCAGGCACGAAAGCCAGGGGAGCAAACGGG